GAGCACGUAGGUGGGUUUGUAAGUCAGAUGUGAAAGCCUUCUGUUCAACGGAAGAAUUGCAUCUGAAACUGCGAGUCUUGAGUGUAGGAGGGGAGAAUGGAACUUCUGGUGGAGCGGUGAAAUGCGUAUAUAUCAGAAGGAACCCCGGCGGCCAAGCCAUUCUCUGGCCUAUUACUGACACUCAGUGUGCGAAAGCUAGGGGAGCAAACGGGAUUAGAUACCCCGGUAGUCCUAGCCGUUAACGAUGGGCACUAAGCCUAGGGGUUUU
rnacentral:rRNA from 1 species